rnacentral:rRNA from 1 species
AUUGAACGCUGGCGGCAUGCUUUACACAUGCAAGUCGAACGGUAACAGGGAGCUUGCUCCGCUGACGUGUGGCGAACGGGUGAGUAAUAUAUCGGAACGUACCCAAGAGUGGGGGAUAACGUAGCGAAAGUUACGCUAAUACCGCAUACGAUCCAAGGAUGAAAGCAGGGGAUCUUCGGACCUUGUGCUCCUGGAGCGGCCGAUAUCUGAUUAGCUAGUUGGUGAGGUAAAGGCUCACCAAGGCGACGAUCAGUAGCUGGUCUGAGAGGACGACCAGCCACACUGGAACUGAGACACGGUCCAGACUCCUACGGGAGGCAGCAGUGGGGAAUUUUGGACAAUGGGCGCAAGCCUGAUCCAGCAAUGCCGCGUGAGCGAAGAAGGCCUUCGGGUUGUAAAGCUCUUUUGUCAGGGAAGAAACGGGAGUGGCUAAUAUCCAUUCCUAAUGACGGUACCUGAAGAAUAAGCACCGGCUAACUACGUGCCAGCCGCCGCAGUAA